CGGAUUGUAGUCUGCAACCCGACUACAUGAAGCUGGAAUCGCUGUAAUCGCGGAUCAGAAUGCCGCGGUGAAUACGUUCCCGGGUCUUGUACACACCGCCCGUCACACCAUGGGAGUCGGAAAUGCCCGAAGUCGGUGACCGAACCGAAAGGAAGGAGCCGCCGAAGGCAGGUCUGGUGACUGGGGUGAAGUCGUAACAAGGUAUC
rnacentral:rRNA from 1 species